CUGAGGAGCGAAAGCGUGGGGAGCGAACAGGAUUAGAUACCCUGGUAGUCCACGCCGUAAACGAUGAGUGCUAAGUGUUAGGGGGUUUCCGCCCCUUAGUGCUGCAGCUAACGCAUUAAGCACUCCGCCUGGGGAGUACGGUCGCAAGACUGAAACUCAAAGGAAUUGACGGGGGCCCGCACAAGCGGUGGAGCAUGUGGUUUAAUUCGAAGCAACGCGAAGAACCUUACCAGGUCUUGACAUCCUCUGACAAUCCUAGAGAUAGGACGUCCCCUUCGGGGGCAGAGUGACAGGUGGUGCAUGGUUGUCGUCAGCUCGUGUCGUGAGAUGUUGGGUUAAGUCCCGCAACGAGCGCAACCCUUGAUCUUAGUUGCCAGCAUUCAGUUGGGCACUCUAAGGUGACUGCCGGUGACAAACCGGAGGAAGGUGGGGAUGACGUCAAAUCAUCAUGCCCCUUAUGACCUGGGCUACACACGUGCUACAAUGGACAGAACAAAGGGCAGCGAAACCGCGAGGUUAAGCCAAUCCCACAAAUCUGUUCUCAGUUCGGAUCGCAGUNUGCAACUCGACUGCGUGAAGCUGGAAUCGCUAGUAAUCGCGG
rnacentral:rRNA from 1 species